UACCAGCACCCCGAGUGGUCGGGACGAUUAUUGGGCCUAAGGCAUCCGUAGCCGGUUUUACAAGUCCUCCGUUAAAUCCAACUGCUUAACAGAUGGGCCGCGGAGGAUACUAUAAGACUAGGAGGCAGGAGAGGCAAGCGGUACUCAGUGGGUAGGGGUAAAAUCCGUUGAUCCAUUGAAGACCACCAGUGGCGAAGGCGGCUUGCCAGAAUGCGCUCGACGGUGAGGGAUGAAAGCUGGGGGAGCAAACCGG
rnacentral:rRNA from 1 species